rnacentral:rRNA from 1 species
GAUGAACGCUGGCGGCGUGCUUAACACAUGCAAGUCGAACGAUGAAGCCCAGCUUGCUGGGUGGAUUAGUGGCGAACGGGUGAGUAACACGUGAGUAACCUGCCCUUAACUCUGGGAUAAGCCUGGGAAACUGGGUCUAAUACCGGAUAGGAGCGCCUACCGCAUGGUGGGUGUUGGAAAGAUUUAUCGGUUUUGGAUGGACUCGCGGCCUAUCAGCUUGUUGGUGAGGUAAUGGCUCACCAAGGCGACGACGGGUAGCCGGCCUGAGAGGGUGACCGGCCACACUGGGACUGAGACACGGCCCAGACUCCUACGGGAGGCAGCAGUGGGGAAUAUUGCACAAUGGGCGAAAGCCUGAUGCAGCGACGCCGCGUGAGGGAUGACGGCCUUGGGGUUGUAAACCUCUUUCAGUAGGGAAGAAGCGAAAGUGACGGUACCUGCAGAAGAAGCACCGGCUAACUACGUG